CCUACGGGAGGCAGCAGUAAGGAAUAUUGCACAAUGGGCGAAAGCCUGAUGCAGCAACGCCGCGUGGGUGAAGAAGGCCUUCGGGUCGUAAAACCCUUUUCUGGGGGACGAGGAAGGACGGUACCCCAGGAAGAAGCACCGGCUGACUACGUGCCAGCAGCCGCGGUAACACGUAGGGUGCGAGCGUUAUCCGGAUUUACUGGGCGUAAAGCGCGCGCAGGCGGUGUCGUAAGUUGGACGUGAAAUCUUUCGGCUCAACCGGGAGGCGCCGUUCAAUACUGCGACACUUGAGGGCAGAAGAGGGGAGUGGAAUUCCCGGUGUAGGGGUAAAAUCCUUAGAGAUCGGGAGGAACACCAGUGGCGAAGGCGGCUCCCUGGCCUGUUCCUGACGCUGAGGCGCGAAAGCGUGGGGAGCGAACGGGAUUAGAUACCCCUGUAGU
rnacentral:rRNA from 1 species